UACGAAGGGAGCUAGCGUUACUCGGAAUUAUUGGGCGUAAAGCGUGCGUAGGCUGUUUUGUCAGUCAGAAGUGAAAUCCUGGGGCUCAACCUCAGAACCGCUUUUGAUACUGCAAGACUAGAGUAUGUGAGGGGAUGGCGGAAUUCCUAGUGUAGAAGUGAAAUUCGUAGAUAUUAGGAGGAACACCGGUGGCGAAGGCGGCCAUCUGGCACAAAACUGACGCUGUUGCACGAAAGCGUGGGGAGCAAACAGG
rnacentral:rRNA from 1 species